GCUGGUGCUGGUGCAGCGGGCGCUGGAGCCGCUUUAGGCGCAUCAGCGGGGGCGGCGGCAGCGCCACCGGCGACUUCCAGCAUCACCACCAGCG
rnacentral:tRNA from 1 species